rnacentral:lncRNA from 1 species
CUGGUUACUUGUCAUCGAACAAAAGGGAAGAAAAAUACCCAUCUCACUGGUAUCUUGUUUUGAUUUUUAAUGUCUAAGUGUAACAAAACCAAGCAACUAUGAAUGACACAAUUGUACACAUACAUUCAGUAACUUCAGAUAUGGUAGUCUGUAAGUUUUGUGAACUGACCUCUAUACUUAUUCCUUCCUCAUUCCUCCUCCUCUUCUCAUACAAAAGGUUCAUAUACAGUGCAGCUCUGAGUCAAUGCUGAGCACAUAGAAACAUUUAAUUACCUUCAGUAGAAAAUGCAUCAAACUAAACAAUGAAAUAUUAAACUUCUCUGAACUUUAACAACCUGUACCUCAGGUGUCUGCUUUCAUUGAUCAGAAUACUUUGACUAACUAUAAGAUCAGUAUUUUUUUUUUACUAGCAGGAAUCUUCUGAGAGUUCACACUUCCUUGUGACAUGACUUAUUUCAAAGGCUGUUACUUGAUUCAGAUUUAUAAUGUAAUCAUUUAACGUGACAGUGCAAAUACAAAACUAAGUGGACCACAGAAAGUUUUCUUACAGGACAACUCUUCAAUCCUUAGAAUUUCGGAGGGACUGCUUGGUUAAUCCUGUUCCUAAAAUCCCUCUGUUAUUUGUUUUAUGAUCCUAAAUUGAUCCCAUGAAGGAGAACAGAUGUUUAUAAUUCAUUGUGUUGAAGACCUUGAGAGAUUCUGCUGGAUAAGUCUUGCAAAUGCUUCUUUACCUUAUAUCCGAGCUCCUUUGUCUUUUCUUCUAGCAUGGCAUAUUUCUCUCUGUUUCUGUUCAGAUGCUCCUUAUCUCCAGUCCCCUCUAUAUGUUUUAGUUUCUCAUGUGAAAUCUCUAAUUGCUUCUGAUAGUGAUGAUGUUUUUCAAUUUUUGCUUCAAAGUGUUUCAGCUCCUCCCGAAAAGAUUCUAGCUCUUUCUCAGUGAAAUUGGCUGAUUUUGCCAUGUCCCACAAAUCAAUCACUCUUGGUUCUUCAAAUUCACUGGUUGCAUCAUAUCCUUGGUGACUGACUUUACGCAAACGUUCAAAGCCCUGGUUGAUGCUUCUUAGCUUCUCUUUAAGUUCUCUGUGUUUGUUGUGCAAGACUUCCUCUUUCACCGGGUUCUCUUCAGAUGGGUUGAUUACAUUUUUGUGAAUAUCUUCAGUUCUGCUCACGGUCUCAAGCAGAAUAUUGUAUUCCCGAAUCUUUUCUUUGUGAUGUUUAAAUUCUCGCCAAAGCUUAUCCAGCUCCUCAUCUGAGAACUUCCCAGAGGUCUUGGCCUUGCUCCAUAAUUUUUCCAGUCUUGGGUCAUCCAGUGUAUCACUUUCUGUACCAUCUUUAAUGUAGUUACUAUCAGUUAAGUGAGAGUCCUUCUUUCCGUUCAUUCCAUAUUUAGUCAUAAUGACAUUUAAGUUGCGUCUAAGCUUGGCUUCUUUCUCUCCAUCUUCAUCUAGCCCUUCAGCCUUCAGUUUUUUCCAGCUUAGCUCAUCCUUUUCUUGUAUUUUCAGAUCACUGUGCAAUUCUGCUAGUUUCACAGCAGAGAGCUGAAGCCGCUGCGCCUUCUCCCAGACCUGAUUCAGCCUCACCACCCGGAACUCCCCGGCCUCCCGCCGCUUGGCGUCAGCCAGCCCCUCGUUGGCCUCCCGGGUGUACUUGC